rnacentral:lncRNA from 1 species
UUUGAUUAACCUGCAAAAUGAUUUUGAGUAUAAAAGAGAUUUCAGAAUUCAAACAAGGCAAAUCAUUAUGCAGAUGAAAAGAUUGAUUUUAUUCUCUUUUUUAGGGUUUUAUGUUGAUCACCAAUUUCAUGCGAAAAGCAAAAAAUGAAAAAUAAUUUGAAAAAUAAACCUUUAACAUGCGAUUAUUGAAUGAAUAUCA